rnacentral:rRNA from 1 species
CCUACGGGGGGCAGCAGUGAGGAAUAUUGGUCAAUGGCCGAGAGGCUGAACCAGCCAAGUCGCGUGAGGGAAGAAGGCUUUCGGGUUGUAAACUUCUUUUCUCAGGGACGAAGCAAGUGACGGUACCUGAGGAAUAAGCCACGGCUAACUACGUGCCAGCAGCCGCGGUAAUACGUAGGUGGCAAGCGUUACUCGGAAUCACUGGGCGUAAAGAGCGCGUAGGCGGGAUAGCAAGUCAGAUGUGAAAUCCUAUGGCUUAACCAUAGAACUGCAUUUGAAACUGUUAUUCUAGAGUAUGGGAGAGGUAGGUGGAAUUCUUGGUGUAGGGGUAAAAUCCGUAGAGAUCAAGAGGAAUACUCAUUGCGAAGGCGACCUGCUAGAACAUAACUGACGCUGAUGCGCGAAAGCGUGGGGAGCAAACAGGAUUAGAUACCCCAGUAGUC